rnacentral:rRNA from 1 species
AUUCCGGUUGAUCCUGCCGGAGGCCAUUGCUCUUGGGGUCCGAUUUAGCCAUGCUAGUCGCACGGGUUCAGACCCGUGGCAAAUAGCUCAGUAGCACGUGGCCAAUCUACCCUCCGGAUCAGCACACCCUCGGGAAACUGAGGCCAAUUCUGUAUACGGCUCCCGACCUGGAAUGGUGGGAGCCCGAAACGCUCCGGCGCCGGAGGAUGAGGCUGCGGCCGAUUAGGUUGACGGUGGGGUAAUGGCCCACCGUGCCGAUAAUCGGUCUGGGUCAUGAGAGUGAGAACCCAGAGACGGAAUCUGAGACAAGAUUCCGGGCCCUACGGGGCGCAGCAGGCGCGAAACCUUUACACUGCACGCCAGUGCGAUAAGGGGACCCCAAGUGCGCAGGCAUAGUGCCUGCGCUUUUCUGGACUGUAGGGCGGUCCAGGAACAAGGGCUGGGCAAGACCGGUGCCAGCCGCCGCGGUAAUACCGGCAGCCCAAGUGAUGGCCGCUGUUAUUGGGCCUAAAGCGUCCGUAGCU